rnacentral:rRNA from 1 species
UACGGAGGGUGCAAGCGUUGUUCGGAAUUAUUGGGCGUAAAGCGCGCGCAGGCGGCCUGAAAAGUCUAUGGGUGAAAUGCCGGGGCUCAACCCCGUGCGUGCCCAGGAUACUGUCAGGCUGGAGACACGUAGAGGCAAGCGGAAUUCCGGGUGUAGCGGUGGAAUGCGUAGAUAUCGGGAGGAACACCGGUGGCGAAGGCGGCGAUCUGGGUAGAUACUGACGCUGAGGUGCGAAAGCGUGGGGAGCAAACAGG